rnacentral:lncRNA from 1 species
UAAUAAUUCUCAAUUUUCUUUGCAGAUCUACACGGUAAUAUCAGACAAACUCGUCGGGAUUUUACUGAGGACACGAAAACAUCAGCUCACGUUUUUUGAGGGAGAAGUUUUGUUUCAGAAACGAGACGACGACGUGCCAGUGUUCCUGAUGCAGCCAAUCGAAGACAUCAGAGCGUACUGCGACAACAAAGCGUUACAAGCCAGGCGCUCGGUAUCACCUAUGCCUAAUUAAUCACUUAAAGCAACUGAAUGUUUGCCGGCAAACAUGACAGCUACAUGAUUACGCGUGUCACGGAAAAAUAACCUUAUUAUGUAGUAUAUAAGGUUAUAUUCCCGUGACAGACGUAAAUGUCAAUGUAGCUGUCAAGUUUGCCGGCAAACAUGCUUCAUGGGUUAAGUUAGUAAUGAAACAAAUGUGCGACGUCUGUACUCAAUUACCGAUAAAUGCUUUUAAUUAGCGUCUUAACUAAUUGGUAUUUUGUCUCCCUAAUUUCAUAUCAGUUGAAGAGACUAAAAAGUAAUUCCUUUUCUUUGUGAAUCUGUCUUUAUACCUCAACAGUGUUGUGAUGCCGCUACAAAGAAUUUCAAACAUGUAGCAGAAUUCGAUUCAGUUUUUAAAGAAUGAAAUCAUAAAUUAUACCAGAAAAAUCAUUUUUUUUUUUAGAGAUGUUUGUUCUUCAGCUUUGGCGGCCCUAAACCACGUGAGGCCCCAGACGAAAGCAAAAAAAAACGAUGCGAGGUCCCGAGUGGAGCAAACAUAGUCCCCGGUUUAAAUAGUUUCAUCGUAAGAUCGUAAAAGGUCCUCGAAGACACCGCUCGAGGCCCCUGUAAACGCGAGACCCAUAUAAGCGUGAGGCCCCGGCCGGUUGCCCACCCCUUACGCCGCCCCUGGAGUCUAGAAUUCGCAAUUCAGCACAAUUACGUCAGCCCGUUUGAAACUAGAUAUAUACAGCCUGAUCCCAGAAUGCGACAUUAUGUGGGCCAAUAUUGCGGGCUUCACCCACCCGUUACGCCGCUCCUGGAGUCUAGACUUCGCAAUUCGGCACAAUUACGUCAGCCCUUUUGAAACUAGAUAUAUACAGCCUGAUUCCAGAAUGCGACCUUAUGUGGGCCAAUAUUGCGGGCUUCACCCACCCCUUACGCCGCUCCUGGAGUCUAGACUUCGCAAUUCGGCACAAUUACGUCAGCCCGUUUGAAACUAGAUAUAUACAGACUGAUCCCAGAAUGCGACCUUAUGUGGGCCAAUAUUGCGGGCUUCACCCACCCCUUACGCCGCUCCUGGAGUCUAGACUUCGCAAUUCGGCACAAUUACGUCAGCCCGUUUGAAACUAGAUAUAUACAGACUGAUCCCAGAAUGCGACCUUAUGUGGGCCAAUAUUGCGGGCUUCACCCACCCCUUACGCCGCUCCUGGAGUCUAGAAUUCGCAAUUCGGCACAAUUACGUCAGCCCUUUCGAAACUAGAUAUAUACAGGCUGAUUCCAAAAUGCGACACCGUUAUGUAGGCCAAUAUUGCCAGCUUCUCCUUGUGAUAGUAGUCGAUAUUAGACUGGAUACAAAUAUCUACCAAAGGGAAAAUAACAAAAUACUGAUUAUUUUAAUCAUUGAUUAAGAAUGUUUAUGGGUAAGAAACUUACAUGUGGUAACACGAGCAUUAUGUAUGGACAAUAAUUGGUGGAUUGCAAAUGAAAAUAAAAGACGAUUUUUAAUGAUUGUAGAAAAAUAAACUUUGUGGAAUACAGUAGAGAGACGCAAUUGGUAUUUACCAUAAUACGUAAUUUUACAAGUAAUACAAAGGGUUUUUCUUUUUCUCGUAUAAGAAAUUACUUUCCAGUAUUUGAAAGAUUGGCAACUAUAAAAUGAUUUAUAUAUUUCACGUACACACUUGUCUUUGGCAAUAAUACCUAAUUAUAAUUUGACUUUUACCUUUAGAUUAUCUCUUCGGUUUCCAAUGGUCAUGGUUCAUUAUAUUAAGAUUAAUAUUUGUUUUAAAGAAACUGGUCUACGUAUCUUCCAAUGAGGGUUUAGUAUUUAAAAACAUAACCAUAAUAUUUUUAUUAUAUCUUUUUUUAACUUUACAUAUUUUGUUAUAGAAUACAAACACCUGAGAUAUUUCCAUUUUAUUAUGCCUCCAUGUUCGUAAUACAUACGAGAUAUUAUGUUGUGUGCGGUCGCUUUGAGUUAGGCAAUUUGUAACUUUAAAUUUUGUUGUUAAGACCUAUUUUCAUGUCUGAAUGGGCAGCAGAAUGGCCGAUAAAAUUGUCAAUUUAUCAGAAAAAGUUUUAAUAGUAAUUUCUGGCCUCCAUAUUCCUAUUCAUGAAAGAAUACAGACUAAUGUAUCAUUUAGUAAAAAGUUUUUGUGUCACUUUGUUUAAAUCCGCUUUAGUAAAUGGACAAAUGAUUUGUCCGUUAGUGUUAUUCAAAGAGAAUCAUAAUAUAUAUGGGUGUUAUUCUUGAAGAGAAGGAAGCAGACGUAUUAAAAAAUAUUUUCAGAAGAAAAAUAUAAUAUUUUUAAAUGAAACAUUCUUUUUACCGCAAAACACUCAAAAGUGGAAA